rnacentral:piRNA from 1 species
UGUAAAUUAGUUGUAAACAGCACCUUGUU